rnacentral:rRNA from 1 species
CAGUCGCCACGGUAAUACGGAGGGGGCUAGCGUUGUUCGGAAUUACUGGGCGUAAAGCGCACGUAGGCGGCUUGGUAAGUUAGAGGUGAAAGCCCGGAGCUCAACUCCGGAAUUGCCUUUAAGACUGCCGAGCUAGUAGGUGAGAGAGGUAAGUGGAAUUCCGAGUGUAGAGGUGAAAUUCAUAGAUAUUCGGAAGAACACCAGUGGCGAAGGCGGCCAUCUGGGACAACACUGACGCUGAGGCACGAAAGCGUGGGGAGCAAACAGGAUUAGAUACCCGCGUAGUCCCUGUCUCUUAUAC